AUCCAGUUGACGAGUCACAAACAGGACGCAACGCGCGCCCUGGAU
rfam:Schistosoma rodhaini strain Burundi genome assembly, scaffold: SROB_scaffold0000344